rnacentral:rRNA from 1 species
AGUGAACGCUGGCGGUAGGCCUAACACAUGCAAGUCGAACGGCAGCACAGGAGAGCUUGCUCUCUGGGUGGCGAGUGGCGGACGGGUGAGGAAUACAUCGGAAUCUACUCUGUCGUGGGGGAUAACGUAGGGAAACUUACGCUAAUACCGCACACGACCUACGGGUGAAAGCAGGGGACCUUCGGGCCUUGCGCGAUUGAAUGAGCCGAUGUCGGAUUAGCUAGUUGGCGGGGUAAAGGCCCACCAAGGCGACGAUCCGUAGCUGGUCUGAGAGGAGUAUCAGCCACGCUGGAACUGAGACACGGACCAGACACCUACGGGAGGCAGCAGUGGGGAAUAUUGGACAAGUGGCGCAAGCCUGAUCCAGCCAUACCGGGGGGGUGAAGAAGGCCUUCGGGUUGUAAAGCCCUUUUGUUGGGAAAGAAAUCCAGCUGGCUAAUACCCGGUUGGGAUGACGGUACCCAAAGAAUAAGCACCGGCUAACUUCGUGCCAGCCGCCGCGGUAA